GAAGCUCCUCCAGUCUCCCUGGAAUUCUGGUGCUCCAACUGCUGGAUGAGGUGGGGCUGGAGGUCCAUCCAGCUCUCCAGGCUGAGCUCCUGCAUCUCUUUCCUAUGGGGUGGGCAUUGCAAAGACCUCUUCACGUUUGUCUUUCCUGUGGAUGUUUCCACAAAAUUUACCUCCACUUUCUGCAAGCUGGGCUGCCCUCCAUCUAGAAUCAACACUGUCAGAAAAAAACCCAUCCUCCUUCAGCCUCCCCUGUCCACAGCUGCCUUCUGCAAUG